rnacentral:rRNA from 1 species
UACAGAGGUCUCAAGCGUUGUUCGGAUUCAUUGGGCGUAAAGGGUGCGUAGGUGGCGCGCUAAGUCAGGUGUGAAAUUUCGGAGCUUAACUCCGAAACUGCAUUUGAUACUGGCGUGCUUGAGGACUGGAGAGGAGACUGGAAUUCAUGGUGUAGCAGUGAAAUGCGUAGAGAUCAUGAGGAAGACCAGUGGCGAAGGCGGGUCUCUGGACAGUUCCUGACACUGAGGCACGAAAGCGUGGGGAGCAAACAGG